UGUGCGAGCCUUCGGGAACUCUGGAUCGCUGCCAAGCUCACCUUAUAAUACUUUAAUUUUAAAACCGAUUUUUGAAAUUGAUUUUUCUGGUAUUGUUUUUUGAAUGAUUUUUCUGGUUUUUUGUUUUGA
rnacentral:rRNA from 1 species